UUUAAAAGAAAGAAAUAUCAGUUAAAAGAUAAAAAAGACAUUUUUUUUGGACUGAAAUUGUAAGGGACACUACGAGAAAAAAAAAAAAAAAAAAAGACUAACACGGGGCUCUCAUUAGGAGAAGGAUAAAAAUAAGGAUUUUUUAGAAAAAUCAUCAUAAUAUUAUUAUAUUAUAUACAUUAUAAGUUUCUUGAUUUCACUGUUC
rnacentral:lncRNA from 1 species